GAAAUGCGAUAAGUAAUGUGAAUUGCAGAAUUCAGUGAAUCAUCCAAUCUUUGAACGCACCUUGCGCUCCUUGGUAUUCCUUGGAGCAUGCCUGUUUGAGUAUCAUGAAAUCUUCAAAGUAAAUCUUUUGUUAACUCAAUUGGUUUCUACUUUGGUAUUGGAGGUCUUUGCAGCUUCACACCUGCUCCUCUUUGUUCAUUAGCUGGAUCUCAGUGUUGUGCUUGGUUCCACUCGGCGUGAUAAGUUAUCUAUCGCUGAGGACACUGUAAAAGGUGGCCAAGGUAAAUGCAGAUGAACCGCUUCUAAUAGUCCAUUGACUUGGACAAUACUUUUAUGAUCUGAUCUCAAAUCAGGUAGGACUACCCGCUGAACUUAAGC
rnacentral:misc_RNA from 1 species